GUCAAAACGACCGUCAUGCCAUUAGCGGGCGGGAGGGUGGUAACAAAAUCUAGAGCGAUGUGGGACCAGGGUCUCGUAUGGAGCUAUUCUUGUGCCAAUAAAAAUGAACGUACCUUUUCAAGAAACUAAUGAAAAUAUAAAUUGAAACUGAAUAAAAUAUCUUUGAAACUGAAAAAGAAUAACUCGCUGGCAAAUUUAUUGACUUCGUUUUUAAUACACUGCAUGUUUUGCUAACUAUUUCUCAUAUUUCUUUCGCUGAUCUGAACUUACAAAUGCGCUUCCAGAGUUUUCAUUUACGCUUCUGAUUUUUUCGUUUACGCUUCUGAAGUUUUCGUUCGCAAUUCUGACACAGACCUACCGUGUGGGCGGGCUUAACAGCGGUUUGCUCUCAUUGGCUAGUGAGAUUUAGAUUGACGGCUCCUUGAACCGGAAGGAGAGACUUCAGCGGCGCGAAUUUUGGGUUCUGUGACAGUCUAACAACAGUAGAGUAAAACACUAUAUUAAAGCACAUCAACAAUAUUUAUAAAACCGAGAUGAGUAAUCAGGAGCGGCACGGAGCGUCAUCAACAUCCUCAACCGCAGGGCAUUCGAGGCAGCCCGAGGGAAAAAGAGAAAUGUCACUUCUCCAGGAACAAGUGCAAGAAGAUAUCUUACAGCGUAUGCUAACCAAGUUUAACUUGAUUUUGUCGGAAUGAAGCUAUAGAUUUGGAUUACCUCCUGGAUGUUGCUCAGCAAGAACUUGCUUUGGCUAUUAAUGCAUCAAAUCAUGUUAACAUCCCAGAUAAUUUAAUUAGGGGUCUACAGGAGUUAAUCAACGUAGUUAAUAUAUCUCUGAAUUUGGAAGAGACUUCAGGAAACGCAUCAGAAAUUGUAACUUACACCUGGGGAAACAUGGGACGCCCACGUUUGGAAAUCAGCAGGGAUGACCUUAAAGAACUUCUCACUACUGCUCUUCCUGUAAAAACUCUUGCACAGCUCUGUGGUGUUUCAAGAAGAACAAUGAACAGAAGACUGAAGGAGCAGUCCCUCUCUGUCAGAGGCUGCUAAUCCAGCAUAUCAGAUAAUGAACUUGAUCGUGUGGUGAGAUCAAUAAAAAUAAGAAUGCCCCAUGCUGGUUACAGGCUAGUGAAAGGGGA